UACGAAGGGGGCUAGCGUUGCUCGGAAUCACUGGGCGUAAAGGGUGCGUAGGCGGGUCUUUAAGUCAGGGGGUGAAAUCCUGGAGCUCAACUCCAGAACUGCCUUUGAUACUGAAGAUCUUGAGUCCGGGAGAGGUGAGUGGAACUGCGAGUGUAGAGGUGAAAUUCGUAGAUAUUCGCAAGAACACCAGUGGCGAAGGCGGCUCACUGGCCCGGUACUGACGCUGAGGCACGAAAGCGUGGGGAGCAAACAGGG
rnacentral:rRNA from 1 species